AAGGAUCAUUACUGUGAUUUAUUCUACACACAUGCGUGAGCGCACACAACACCGAAACAUAUGUACGAAUGUCAACAACACAAGAAUUCGAAAACUUUCAACAACGGAUCUCUUGGUUCUCGCAUCGAUGAAGAGCGCAGCGAAAUGCGAUACCUAGUGUGAAUUGCAGCCAUCGUGAAUCAUCGAGUUCUUGAACGCACAUUGCGCCCCCUGGCAUUCCAGGGGGCAUGCCUGUUUGAGCGUCGUUUCCUUCUUGCGCAAGCAGAGUUGGUGGGGGGAGCGAUUUCCCUGCUGAAAAGGAGCGGCUGCGGUCCGAGCGAACUAAAGUGGUUGCGCGUGGGCCGCCGAACUUACUACCAAGCUCGACCUCAAAUCAGGUAGGAAUACCCGCUGAACUUAAGCAUAUCU
rnacentral:rRNA from 1 species